rnacentral:rRNA from 1 species
AUACGGAGGGUCCGAGCGUUAAUCGGAAUUACUGGGCGUAAAGCGCGCGUAGGCGGCUAAUUAAGUCAAAUGUGAAAUCCCCGAGCUUAACUUGGGAAUUGCAUUCGAUACUGGUUAGCUAGAGUGUGGGAGAGGAUGGUAGAAUUCCAGGUGUAGCGGUGAAAUGCGUAGAGAUCUGGAGGAAUACCGAUGGCGAAGGCAGCCAUCUGGCCUAACACUGACGCUGAGGUGCGAAAGCAUGGGGAGCAAACAGGAUUAGAUACCCCCGUAAGUCC